GACGAACGCUGGCGGCGUGCCUAAUACAUGCAAGUCGAACGCUUUUUCUUUCACCGGAGCUUGCUCCACCGAAAGGAAAAGAGUGGCGAACGGGUGAGUAACACGUGGGUAACCUGCCCAUCAGAAGGGGAUAACACUUGGAAACAGGUGCUAAUACCGUAUAACACUAUUUUCCGCAUGGAAGAAAGUUGAAAGGCGCUUUUGCGUCACUGAUGGAUGGACCCGCGCUGCAUUAGCUAGUUGGUGAGGUAACGGCUCACCAAGGCAACGAUGCAUAGCCGACCUGCGAGGGUGAUCGGCCACACUGGGACUGAGACCCGGCCCAGACUCCUACGGGAGGCAGCAGUAGGGAAUCUUCGGCAAUGGACGAAAGUCUGACCGAGCAACGCCGCGUGAGUGAAGAAGGUUUUCGGAUCGUAAAACUCUGUUGUUAGAGAAGAACAAGGAUGAGAGUAAAAUGUUCAUCCCUUGACGGUAUCUAACCAGAAAGCCACGGCUAACUACGUGCCAGCAGCCGCCGUAA
rnacentral:rRNA from 1 species